rnacentral:lncRNA from 1 species
GACUUCCCCAACAGCUGGAUUUCCACAGUGCUGACUGAAUUCCCCCGACGGACGAGCUCCCACUGCACCACCCGAGCUCCUUUAACAUGAGUUCCCCCAGUCAUCUAUUAAGCCGCCCCAAGUGCUCGCUGAGCUCCGCCGCCAGCCGACCUUCCACGACUAUCAGCUGUUCCCCGAAUCCCUUCCAGGCUUCUUCCAGCC